GUGAGUGAAGAAGGCCUUCGGGUUGUAAAGCUCUUUUGUCAGGGAAGAAACAGCAGCUCUAAUACAGUUUGCGAAUGACGGUACCUGAAGAAUAAGCACCGGCUAACUACGUGCCAGCAGCCGCGGUAAUACGUAGGGUGCAAGCGUUAAUCGGAAUUACUGGGCGUAAAGCGUGCGCAGGCGGUUAUGUAAGACAGGCGUGAAAUCCCCGGGCUUAACCUGGGAAUUGCGCUUGUGACUGCAUAGCUAGAGUGUGUCAGAGGGGGGUAGAAUUCCACGUGUAGCAGUGAAAUGCGUAGAUAUGUGGAGGAAUACCAAUGGCGAAGGCAGCCCCCUGGGAUAACACUGACGCUCAUGCACGAAAGCGUGGGGAGCAAACAGGAUUAGAUACCCUGGUAGUCCACGCCCUAAACGAUGCUGACUAGUUGUUCGGGAAUUUAUUCCUGAGUAACGUAGCUAACGCGUGAAGUCAGCCGCCUGGGGAGUACGGUCGCAAGAUUAAAACUCAAAGGAAUUGACGGGGACCCGCACAAGCGGUGGAUGAUGUGGAUAAAUUCGAUGCAACGCGAAAAACCUUACCUAACC
rnacentral:rRNA from 1 species